AAAAAGAAAGAAAGUUAAAUGCCACAUUCUAAUACAAGACCAAGAGGAAUAUGAAACUAACAUAUUUAUGCUAAGACUAAGGACCCUAUAGUGCAUGGCACUAGGAACCAAAUGCACAAAUACAAACAUUUUAUACUAUCGUAGUCUCGCAAUGGUGUGAGCCAAGGUACUUGAGGUGAGUCGAGCUUCUGGAUCAAAAUAAACCUAUGCGCAAGAAACAACGGUGCGUUAAGUAUAAAUCUUAGUAAGAACUAAUGAAAAUAAAACAUGAAACUUACCUUAUUCAAAAUAAAGAAUAAUCAUAAAGAACUAAAAUUAAGUUACAAGCUAUCUAUCAA
rnacentral:lncRNA from 1 species